rnacentral:rRNA from 1 species
CUCCGGUUGAUCCUGCCGGACCCGACUGCUAUCAGAGUGGGACUAAGCCAUGCGAGUCAACAUAGCAAUAUGUGGCAUACGGCUCAGUAACACGUAGUCAACAUGCCCAGGGGACGUGGAUAACCUCGGGAAACUGAGGAUAAACCGCGAUAGGUCAUCACUUCUGGAAUGGGUAAUGACUUAAAUCUAUAUGGCCCCUGGAUUGGACUGCGGCCGAUCAGGCUGUUGGUGGGGUAAUGGCCCACCAAACCUGUAACCGGUACGGGCUCUGAGAGGAGGAGCCCGGAGAUGGGCACUGAGACAAGGGCCCAAGCCCUAUGGGGCGCAGCAGGCGCGAAACCUCUGCAAUAGGCGAAAGCUUGACAGGGUUACUCUGAGUGAUUUCCGUUAAGGAGAUCUUUUGGCACCUCUAAAAAUGGUGCAGAAUAAGGGGUGGGCAAGUCUGGUGUCAGCCGCCGCGGUAAUACCAGCACCCCGAGUGGUCGGGACGUUUAUUGGGCCUAAAGCAUCCGUAGCCGGUUCUACAAGUCUUCCGUUAAAUCCACCUGCUUAACAGAUGGGCUGCGGAAGAUACUAUAGAGCUAGGAGGCGGGAGAGGCAAGCGGUACUCGAUGGGUAGGGGUAAAAUCCGUUGAUCCAUUGAAAACCACCAGUGGCGAAGGCGGCUUGCCAGAACGCGCUCGACGGUGAGGGAUGAAAGCUGGGGGAGCAAACCGGAUUAGAUACCCGGGUAGUCCCAGCUGUAAACGAUGCAGACUCGGUGAUGAGUUGGCUUAUUGCUAACUCAGUGCCGCAGGGAAGCCGUUAAGUUUGCCGCCUGGGGAGUACGGUCGCAAGACUGAAACUUAAAGGAAUUGGCGGGGGAGCCC